UUGAUGACACCUUUGGAGAGGGCGGAUGCGACAACUGACUGGAAAGAACAUACUACGGAUGAAGGACGGAAGUACUACCACAACAGAGUGACGAAGAAAUCUGAAUGGACUAUCCCUGAGGAGCUAAAGAUUGCGCGUGAACUAGCGGAGAAUGCAUUAAGUCAACGGCCUGAUCAGUACGCUCAAACUACUGCUGGCGGCUAUGUUGGAUCCUCUUAUGCUGCUUCAAGCACACACGAUGCAGUGGCGGUCGUUUCUGAAAGAUUGGAUCAAGAGUUGAGGAUUUGAGUCUUCGCCCCUAGAAGAUACAGAACUAGAUAGCGGUCAGGCAUAUGCGAAACACUGGAUCAAGAAGUUCCAAAGGUUGUAUUGAACUGUUAUAAUGUACCCUGAGUUGUGGUUUGAGGCAUCACCUACGUUCUGAAUUAUAAGAUGUUUCGAAUAUUUCAA